GCGGCACUUGUAAUAAUUACAAAUACCCAGCGGCUGGUGCUGCCGGUCGUCCAUACUUACGUCUCCUUAAGCCUGAUUAUGCCAACGGUCAGGAAAUAAGGACAGGCACAAAUGGCAAGCCAUUACCGUCAGCUCGCAAAAUUCGUACAACUCUCGAAAGAGUUGGUUUCUUCCCGGAUACAAGUGCGUUCAAUGCGGCCGCUAUUCAUUUCAUUGAGUUAAUCCAUAAAGAUUUAAGCGCUAUGAAUGGUCCUAUUGAUUUCAUUUAUAAAAGGCAGCACUGUUGUACAUCGCAAAGUUCACAGGACACCAAAUGUAUCCCAAUAGAGAUUCCCAACAAGGACCCUUAUCACAAAGGGAAUAUUCGCUGUCUAAACUUCUCGAGAGCUGAAACCUUCCAAGAAAUAAGUUGCACGCGGGAUUUAAUGCCC